GACAGAGGGGGCAAGCGUUGUCCGGAUUUACUGGGCGUAAAGCGUCCGCAGGUGGUUGGUCAAGUAGCAACUGAAAGCGCGGGGCUUAACUCCGCGUCGCGUCGCUAAACUGGCCGACUCGAGGCGUGCAGAGGGCUGUGGAAUUGCCGGUGUAGUGGUGAAAUGCGUAGAGAUCGGCAGGAACACCAAGGGCGAAAGCAGCAGCCUGGGCACGACCUGACACUCAGGGACGACAGCGUGGGGAGCAAACGGG
rnacentral:rRNA from 1 species